rnacentral:lncRNA from 1 species
UGAUAAAUAAAAGUAUUUUUGAGGGUUGAAAAAGUAUUUUGAUUUUUUUCACAAAUGCAAUAUUUAAUGGAGUGGAGUGUGAAUUAAUUCAGUACCUGGAGUAUAUAGGGUUAAUGUAAUUCAAAACCAGGAGCCUUGUACACAAGUAAGGAAGAAGAAGAGGAUAGAAGUAGAGAGUGAAAGACUAGAGAAAGCUAAGGAAAGGGUGGAAAGAUAGGACGGAAAAAGAAAGCAAUGAAGAUAUAUAACAGAUAUACUGAUGUGGCUUCUGGGGCAGGGAGAUGGAGGAGAAAGACUCUUGAAAGGCUGAAGGAAGACAUAAAGACAAAUACCAGGGAGAGUCACUGCUCCCAUGGCUGAAGCCCACCCCGACAGACCCCGUCAUCGGCAAGGGUUCACUGCUCAGAAAUAUGAACCACCUGUAACGAGGCCCCGGGGGACUCACAAAAGUCUGGCAGAUCACCCCCUAAUGGCUCGGCCUCCUGCUGGACCUGCAGCCCUCUCCCCCUCAACAUUUCCUGACUGCCUCCACUAAUUAUCUGGAAUUUGUUUGUAAUAAAUGCCUUAUGUUGCCCUACCGAGGUGCCUUUUUCAUUAGCAGUUCUUUUCCUGUGAUGUGGGCACUAAAAUAAAAUUCCAAAUGAAGAAAAG